AUAUUGGUCAAUGGGUGCAAGCCUGAACCAGCCAUGCCGCGUGCAGGAAGACGGCCUUCUGGGUUGUAAACUGCUUUUAACGGGGGAUAAAAAGCUCAUGCGUGAGCAAUUGAAGGUACCCGUUGAAUAAGCCACGGCUAACUACGUGCCAGCAGCCGCGGUAAUACAGAGGGUGCGAGCGUUGUUCGGAAUCACUGGGCGUAAAGCGCGCGCAGGCGGUCCUGCAAGUCUGAAGUGAAAUCUCGUCGCUCAACGACGGGGCUGCUUUGGAAACUGCGGGUCUGGAGAUCGGUAGAGGCUGGUAGAAUUGCAGGUGUAGCGGUGGAAUGCGUAGAGAUCUGCAAGAAUACCCGUGGCGAAGGCGGCCAGCUGGGCCGAAUCUGACGCUGAGGCGCGAAAGCGUGGGGAGCAAACAGG
rnacentral:rRNA from 1 species